CCUACGGUGGGCUGCAGUGGGGAAUAUUGGACAAUGGGGGGAACCCUGAUCCAGCCAUGCCGCGUGUGUGAAGAAGGCCCUCGGGUUGUAAAGCACUUUCAGUGAGGAAGAACGCCUGGUGGUUAAUACCCAUCAGGAAAGACAUCACUCACAGAAGAAGCACCGGCUAACUCCGUGCCAGCAGCCGCGGUAAUACGGAGGGUGCGAGCGUUAAUCGGAAUUACUGGGCGUAAAGCGCGCGUAGGUGGCUUGAUAAGCCGGUUGUGAAAGCCCCGGGCUCAACCUGGGAACGGCAUCCGGAACUGUCAAGCUAGAGUGCAGGAGAGGAAGGUAGAAUUCCCGGUGUAGCGGUGAAAUGCGUAGAGAUCGGGAGGAAUACCAGUGGCGAAGGCGGCCUUCUGGACUGACACUGACACUGAGGUGCGAAAGCGUGGGUAGCAAACAGGAUUAGAUACCCUAGUAGUC
rnacentral:rRNA from 1 species